GGCUCGGCGUGCGGCCGCUUCCGCGAGCCGGGCUGGGAGGACGUUUGGCCUGGGCUAAAACGUCUACAGACCCUAGGAUUGCUGUAGGUCAGCAGUCCCCACUGGAGAAGAAAAUCUUGGUGCAGAAGGAUCAGCUGGUUCUGGGCUUGCACCUGGUGCAGCGGUCUUAGGCACCUGGUGUUU